GACAGAGGGUGCUAGCGUUGUUCGGAAUUACUGGGCGUAAAGGGCGCGUAGGCGGCUCGUUUAGUCGGGUGUGAAAUCCCGGGGCUCAACCCCGGAACUGCAUUCGAUACUGGCGGGCUAGAGACCGGAAGAGGUGGGUGGAAUACCCAGUGUAGAGGUGAAAUUCGUAGAUAUUGGGUGGAACACCGGUGGCGAAGGCGGCGACCUGGGUAGAUACGUGACGCUGAGGUGGCGAAAGCGUGGGGAGCAAACAGGG
rnacentral:rRNA from 1 species